rnacentral:rRNA from 1 species
UGGGGAAUCUUGCGCAAUGCGCGAAAGCGUGACGCAGCAACGCCGCGUGGGGGAAGAAGGUUUUCGGAUUGUAAACCCCUUUCAGGAAGGACGAAGGUUCGGCAGUUAAUAGCUGACCGGACUGACGGUACUUCCACAAGAAGGUCCGGCUAACUACGUGCCAGCAGCCGCGGUAAUACGUAGGGACCUAGCGUUGUCCGGAAUCAUUGGGCGUAAAGCGCGCGUAGGCGGCCCGGUAAGUCCGUUGUAAAAGUCGAAGGCUCAACCUUCGAAAGCCGAUGGAUACUGCCGGGCUAGAGUCCGGAAGAGGCGAGUAGAAUUCCUGGUGUAGCGGUGGAAUGCGCAGAUAUCAGGAGGAAUACCCAUAGCGAAGGCAGCUCGCUGGGACGGUACUGACGCUGAGGCGCGAAAGCGUGGGGAGCGAACAGGAUUAGAUACCCUGGUAGUCCACGCCGUAAACGAUGGGCACUAGGUGUGGGAGGUGUCGACUCCUCCCGUGCCGACGCUAACGC